GACGAACGCUGGCGGCGUGCCUAAUACAUGCAAGUCGAGCGGACGAAUCGAAAGCUUGCUUUUGAUUCGUUAGCGGCGGACGGGUGAGUAACACGUGGGCAACCUGCCCUGUAGACGGGGAUAACACCGAGAAAUCGGUGCUAAUACCGGAUAACACGAAAUGUCGCAUGACGUUUCGUUGAAAGGCGGCGCAAGCUGUCGCUACAGGAUGGGCCCGCGGCGCAUUAGCUAGUUGGUGAGGUAACGGCUCACCAAGGCGACGAUGCGUAGCCGACCUGAGAGGGUGAUCGGCCACACUGGGACUGAGACACGGCCCAGACUCCUACGGGAGGCAGCAGUAGGGAAUCUUCCGCAAUGGACGAAAGUCUGACGGAGCAACGCCGCGUGAGCGAAGAAGGCCUUCGGGUCGUAAAGCUCUGUUGUUAGGGAAGAACAAGUAACGCAGUAACUGGCGUUACCGUGACGGUACCUAACGAGAAAGCCACGGCUAACUACGUG
rnacentral:rRNA from 1 species